rnacentral:rRNA from 1 species
GACAGAGGGUGCAAACGUUGCUCGGAAUUACUGGGCGUAAAGGGCGUGUAGGCGGGAAGGCAAGUCGGGCGUGAAAUCCCCAGGCUCAACCUGGGAACUGCACUCGAAACUGCCUUUCUUGGGUGUCGGAGAGGAAAGCGGAAUUCCUGGUGUAGAGGUGAAAUUCGUAGAUAUCAGGAGGAACACCAGUCGGCGGAAGGCG